UUAUACAAUUUAUUACGAUGUUAGAUUUUUCAUUUUCGGUAUUUGUGCGGCUCUCAAAUGCUGCGCAUGAACUUGUGGUUGUGAUCAGUUACUUAAUCAUUUUACCAUAAACAUCUCUUAAGAACUCAUCAUUGCAUUAUGAUUGUUCUUUUAUUUUUUUAGGGUUGUAAAGAAGAUGAAACCCAAGGUUGGAAUCUCAGGUCCCUGAGAAAGAUGUUUCCAAAGACAAGCAUUAAAUUAUCUUAGGUAGGGAUUAGGAAGCUGCUUAUGCAAACUAGUCUGAACCUGCUCUAUGCUGUUACCUUUUUUGAAGAUCUUGAAUAAAACUAAUCUCGUUGAGAGGUUCCCAAUAUACGACUAUUGUAGAAUAUGCACCAUCUCAACGUGUUCCAAAACUGUGGGCUAAAAAAGAUGGCCGUGAAUGGACCAUAUUCAAAGGUGAUAAUAUUUUAUUACGAAAAGAAGAAUACAAAAAUAAAGAAUGAAGCUGGCGAUGAGACAUCACCACUUCGGAUAAGGACUCCUCUUCCCAAGAUGGUUCAAAAACCC